rnacentral:lncRNA from 1 species
CCAUAAAAAGGAUUAAUAUGGAUGACAUUUGUUUUUAGGAACCAAGGUGGGGUUAUAUGCAUUCUUAUGAACUAAUGUGUCCAGUGUCAAAUUUCUUACAAUUGAAAAGCAGUCAAUCUACUCAUUCUACAAAUUUGUGAUAGUGGUAGAGAAGGAUGUUUAACAAGUUAGGAGUAAGUAGUCCUGAUGCUGAAAUGGUUUGGAGCAUCCCGCCUCCAUUUUGUCUUUCUUUUGUUGGCUCUUUUUUUUAUUGUUCAUCUUGUCUUACUUCCCUACACACCAAAAAUUGAAGGGAUUUAUAACAAAAUGGUGUGGCAAACUUACAAUGAUUUAACUAGUCUUGGGUUGUCAAGUAUUUCACAUUGCAAAUGUUGGUGAAGGUGAACUUGCAUCUUGGCUAGGAAUUGAGUCAUCAUCUAUUGUUUUGCAGGCCCGUCGGGGAAGAUAAUGCUUUUGCCCGAGGAUGACCCAAAUGCUACCCAUAUAAUGAUUGCCACAGGCACUGGUGUUGCUCCAUUCAGAGGCUAUCUACGCCGAAUGUUCAUGGAAUCAGUCCCUGCAUACAAGUUUGGUGGAUUAGCAUGGCUUUUCCUUGGAGUUGCCAACACUGACAGUCUUCUCUAUGAUGAUGAAUUCAGCAAAUACCUCAAGGAUUAUCCGGACAAUUUCCGCUACAAUCGAGCCCUCAGCAGAGAACAAAAGAACAAGAGUG